UGAAGGAAGCAGUCAGCCCAGUCGUGUUUGUGGAGAGGUAUUCCUUCAGAAAUGGAGAAGACAGAAAGCUGCGGAGGCAGACAUUUGCAGCAGUCUACAACAUCGAGCUCAACAGAUCUUUUAAGAGCCAACCCUCACAAACCUUGCUCUCAGCGAAUCUUGCCAUGAUCAGCCCUUUCCAGAAGAGAAGAUCAAGGAAAUUAUUUGUUCAGGAUGAGGAAUGAAGACGGCCAUCUUGUGCCCAAACGAAGACAGAAAGCUGUCCACUGAUGAUCUCAUCAGCCAAAUGAGGGGUUUUGACCAAGUGAUGGUCUUGAAAGGAAUGAAAGAAGAGGAUGUGGUAAAUUGUCUUCAAAGAAAAAGCUUCUCAAAAGGUCUUAAAACAGCUUGAAGAAUGGUCUGGGAACUGUCUGAAAAUGGGAUGUUAGGACUGAGAGAUCCUCUGGCUGAGAAAAAGCUACACCAGAUCAGUGCUGGAUAUCAACCACAAACUGUUUCCAGACACGAGAGAAGAAGAUCAUGAUGGGGAAAUGAAACCAGUUUAGAUGUGAUGAUAAGGAAUCAUUAUUUUCUGAAACAGUAUCACAUGUCUUAUAUGUAUCACAUGAUCUGUAUCACAGUUGCCUGGAUGGGAUUGUGUGACUUUUAAGGACAUUUCAUUACUCAUCUGUGUGAACUGAUUAAUUUAUGAUAUUAAUGAAUUUUUGAUGAUCCAUUAUUAUUUUCCUUGAAUCUUAUUUGUCUUGAUGCUACUUUAUCAACUUUAUAGUCUAUGCUUCAAUAAAAUUAAU